rnacentral:rRNA from 1 species
AUUUAAAUGUAUUUUUAAAUGUUGUCCUGGUUUUGUAACUAAAAUGGUUUGGCAGUGAGCGAUUCUUGUUAGGGGAAGAUGCAUAGUAAAGGAUGGUCCACCUAUUAUUUCACUCUUGUUAUGUUGGUGUAUAUCUGGUUUGAUAUUAUCGUUUAAUGGUUUGAGUUUGUGUAGUUUUAGUUAAGCCAAGUCUAUGUGCUGCUUAUGGGAGUUUUUGUGUGUUACAUUAAUAAGGGUGUUGUUGUAAUAUGAUAUUAUUUAGGACUUAAUAGUAAUGUUUAAAUUAGUUUGUUGAUGUGAAAUGAGUUUAGCUCAGGUACACACCGCCCG